rnacentral:rRNA from 1 species
AUGUUUUAAUGAAUAUUAAUAUUAAAUUUGCCCUGCCCAAUGAUUAAUGUUUUAAUGGCCGCAGUAAAUUGACUGUGCAAAGGUAGCAUAAUAAUUUGUCUUUUAAUUGAGGACUGGAAUGAAUGGGUGGACGUAAAAAUUUCUGUCUCUAUUUUUAUGUAAUUGAAUUUUACUUUUAAGUUAAAAGGCUAAUUGUAUAAUUAAAUAUUAUUAAGGGACGAAAAGACCCUAUCAAGUUUUAUAAUAUUUAAAUAAUUAUUUUCAUUAUUAAUUUUUAUUAUUAUUUUUCUGGGGUGGAAUUAAUAUAAAACUAUUAAAAAUUUUAUAAUUUAAUAAUUUAUUAUUGAUCUUUUUUAUUACUAAUUAAUAAAUUACUGUAGGGGUAACAGCAUAAUUAUUUUGGUAAGUUCAAAUUUAUAAAAUAGAUUAUGACCUCGAUGUUGGAUUAAAUUUACCUAAAAAUUAAUGAAGAAGUUAUUAAGGUUAGUCUGUU